UACGGGGGGGGCAAGCGUUGUUCGGAAUUACUGGGCGUAAAGGGCUCGUAGGCGGCCAACUAAGUCGGAUGUGAAAUCCCCAGGCUUAACCUGGGAACUGCAUCCGAUACUGGAUGGCUUGAAUCCGGGAGAGGGAUGCAGAAUUCCAGGUGUAGCGGUGAAAUGCGUAGAUAUCUGGAGGAAUACCGGUGGCGAAGGCGGCAUCCUGGACCGGCAUUGACGACUGACGGUGAGCGAAAAGCCAGGGGGGAGCC
rnacentral:rRNA from 1 species